rnacentral:rRNA from 1 species
AUUGAACGCUGGCGGCAUGCCUUACACAUGCAAGUCGAACGGCAGCACGGGGCAACCUGGUGGCGAGUGGCGAACGGGUGAGUAAUGCAUCGGAACGUACCUUUCAGUGGGGGAUAACGUAGCGAAAGUUACGCUAAUACCGCAUAUUCUGUGAGCAGGAAAGAAGGGGAUCGCAAGACCUUGCGCCGAUUUAGCGGCCGAUGUAAGAUUAGCUAGUUGGUGAGGUAAAGGCUCACCAAGGCGACGAUCUGUAGCGGGUCUGAGAGGAUGAUCCGCCACACUGGAACUGAGACGCGGUCCAGACUCCUACGGGAGGCAGCAGUGGGGAAUUUUGGACAAUGGGGGCAACCCUGAUCCAGCCAUGCCGCGUGAGUGAAGAAGGCCUUCGGGUUGUAAAGCUCUUUCGGCCGGGAAGAAAUCGCACGGGCUAAUACCCUGUGUGGAUGACGGUACCGGAAUAAGAAGCACCGGCUAACUACGUGCCAGCCGCCGCGGUAAUAC